rnacentral:rRNA from 1 species
GGCAACGAUGGUUAGCUGGUCUGAGAGGAUGAUCAGCCACACUGGAACUGACACACGGUCCAGACUCCUACGGGAGGCAGCAGUGAGGAAUUUUGCGCAAUGGGGGAAACCCUGACGCAGCAACGCCGCGUGAGUGAUGAAGGCUUUUGGGUCGUAAAGCUCUGUCAAGUGGGAAGAAAAUGCGAAAUGCCAAUACCAUUUUGCACUGACGGUACCACUGAAGGAAGCACCGGCUAACUCCGUGCCAGCAGCCGCGGUAAUACGGGGGGUGCAAGCGUUAUUCGGAAUUAUUGGGCGUAAAGAGCGCGUAGGCGGCCUCUUAAGUCAGAUGUGAAAGCCCGGGGCUUAACCCCGGAAGUGCAUUUGAAACUAAGGGACUUGAGUAUGGGAGAGGGAAGUGGAAUUCCUGGUGUAGAGGUGAAAUUCGUAGAUAUCAGGAGGAACACCGGUGGCGAAGGCGACUUCCUGGACCAAUACUGACGCUGAGGCGCGAAGGCGUGGGGAGCAAACAGGAUUAGAUACCCUGGUAGUCCACGCAGUAAACGUUGAUCACUAGGUGUAGCGGGUAUUGACCCCUGCUGUGCCGCAGUUAACGCAUUAAGUGAUCCGCCUGGGGAGUACGGUCGCAAGAUUAAAACUCAAAGGAAUUGACGGGGGCCCGCACAAGCGGUGGAGCAUGUGGUUUAAUUCGACGCAACGCGAAGAACCUUACCUGGAUUUGACAUCUCGGGAAUCAUUCUGAAAAGAUUGAGUGCCCUUCGGGGAACCCGAUGACAGGUGCUGCAUGGCUGUCGUCAGCUCGUGUCGUGAGAUGUUGGGUUAAGUCCCGCAACGAGCGCAACCCUUAUCUUUAGUUACCAUCAUUUGGUUGGGGACUCUAAAGAUACUGCCCCGGUUAACGGGGAGGAAGGUGGGGAUGACGUCAAGUCCUCAUGGCCUUUAUGUCCAGGGCUACACACGUGCUACAAUGGGUUGUACAAAGGGUAGCGAACUCGCGAGGGUAAGCCAAUCCCAAAAAGCAACUCUUAGUUCGGAUUGGAGUCUGCAACUCGACUCCAUGAAGCUGGAAUCGCUAGUAAUCGUGGAUCAGCAUGCCACGGUGAAUACGUUCCCGGGCCUUGUACACACCGCCCGUCACACCAUGAGAGUUGGUUGUACCCGAAGUUGCCAGGCUAACCCAUUAGGGGGGCAGGUACCUAAGGUAUGGCUGAUGAUUGGGGUGAAGUCGUAACAAGGUA